rnacentral:rRNA from 1 species
AGUGAACGCUGGCGGUAGGCCUAACACAUGCAAGUCGAACGGCAGCACAGUAAGAGCUUGCUCUUACGGGUGACGAGUGGAGGACGGGUGAGGUAUACAUCGGAAUCUACUUUUUCGUGGGGGGUAACGUAGGGAAACUUACGCUAAUACCGCAUACGACCUACGGGUGAAAGCAGGGGAUCUUCGGACCUUGCGCGAAUGAAUGAGCCGAUGUCGGAUUAGCUAGUUGGCGGGGUAAAGGCCCACCAAGGCGACGAUCCGUAGCUGGUCUGAGCGGAUGAUCAGCCACACUGGAACUGAGACACGGUCCAGACUCCUACGGGAGGCAGCAGUGGGGAAUAUUGGACGAUGGGCGCAAGCCUGAUCCAGCCAUACCGCGUGGGUGAAGAAGGCCUUCGGGUUGUAUAGCCCUUUUGUUGGGAAAGAAAAGCAGCAGGUGAAUACCCCGCUGUUCUGACAGUACCCAAAGAAUAAGCACCGGCUAACUUCGUG